GGUCUGUGUUCGGGAUAUUUAUUCCUAGUGCUAGGCUUUUUGCAAUGUUUAGUUUGUAGUAGGAGCAUUUACUGUAUUGGGAGAGGAUUUUGUGGAAGUUGGGCAAUGACACGCGUGGUUGUUCAAGGGUUAGAAGAAUGUCAUCUGCAAACAGGGACAUUUUGUAUUCUCGUCCGUUCACCCUAAUCCCACGUAUGGCUGGGUGUUCGCGUAUAAGGUGGGUGAGGGGUUCCAGCGCUAUGAUGUAAAGCAAUGGGGAGAGUGGGCAGCCCUGUCUGGAGCCAUUAGAGAUGCUGAAUGGUUUUGAUAUAAAUCC